rnacentral:miRNA from 1 species
UUCCCCGUCCGUACCGAGGCCA